UGACACAGGGAGGUAGUGACAAAAAAUAACGAUACGGGGCGCAAGUCGUCUUGUAAUCUGUAAUGAGUCUAACUUAAAAACCUUAACGAUGAUCCACUGGAGGGCAAGUCUGGUGCCAGCAGCCGCGGUAAUUCCAGCUCCAGUAGCGUAUAUUAAAGUUGUUGCAGUUAAAAAGCUCGUAGUUGGAUUUCUGGUACGCCUGGCCUGACCCGCUCCGGCUACGGUAGUGUGUGUCGGCGCCCGGUUGCCAUCCUUCCAGAGAACUCGUUCUACCCUUAACUGGGCCGGGGCAGCGAUCUGGAACUUUUACUUUGAAAAAAUUAGAGUGUUCAAAGCAGGCUUGCGCUAUGAAUACAUUAGCAUGGAAUAAUAAUUUAGGACUCUCGUUCUAUAUUUAUUGGUUCGAAGGACUUGAGUAAUGAUUGAUAGGGAUAGUUGGGGGUGCUAGUAUUCAGCGGCCAGAGGUGAAAUUCUUGGAUUCGCUGAAGACUAACUUAUGCGAAAGCAUUCACCAAGGAUGUCUUCUUUAAUCAAGAACGAAAGUUGGGGGAUCGAAGACGAUCAGAUACCGUCGUAGUCUCAACCAUAAACUAUACCGACUAAGGAUGAGUGAACGUUGCAUAUUCGACUUCAUUCGCACUUUAUGAGAAAUCAAAGUCUUUAGGUUCUGGGGGGAGUAUGGUCGCAAGGCUGAAACUUAAAGGAAUUGACGGAGGGGCACCACCAGGAGUGGAGCCUG
rnacentral:rRNA from 1 species